UCGGGAAUUUUGGGCAAUGGGCGAAAGCCUGACCCAGCAACGCCGCGUGAGGGAUGAAGUAUUUCGGUAUGUAAACCUCGAAAGAAUGGGAAGAAUAAAUGACGGUACCAUUUAUAAGCUCCGGCUAACUACGUGCCAGCAGCCGCGGUAAUACGUAGGGAGCAAGCGUUGUUCGGAUUUACUGGGCGUAAAGGGCGCGUAGGCGGCGCGGUAAGUCACUUGUGAAAUCUCUGAGCUUAACUCAGAACGGCCAAGUGAUACUGCUGUGCUAGAGUGCGGAAGAGGCAACCGGAAUUCUUGGUGUAGCGGUGAAAUGCGUAGAUAUCAAGAGGAACACCAGAGGCGAAGGCGGGUUGCUGGGCCGACACUGACGCUGAUGCGCGAAAGCCAGGGGA
rnacentral:rRNA from 1 species